rnacentral:rRNA from 1 species
UCCUACGGGAGGCAGCAGCAAGGAAUAUUGGGCAAUGGGCGAAAGCCUGACCCAGCGACACCGCGUGGAGGAAGAAGGCCUUCGGGUUGUAAACUCCUUUUCCCGGGGAAGAAUAAUGACGGUACCCGGGGAAUAAGCCUCGGCUAACUACGUGCCAGCAGCCGCGGUAAUACGUAGGAGGCAAGCGUUAUCCGGAUUUACUGGGCGUAAAGGGGGCGUAGGCGGCCUGUCAAGUCGGAUGUGAAAUCUCCAGGCUAAACUGGGAGGGUGCAUUCGAUACUGAUGGGCUAGAGUGCAGCAGAGGAAAGCGGAAUUCCCGGUGUAGUGGUGGAAUGCGUAGAUAUCGGGAAGAACACUAGUGGCGAAGGCGGCUUUCUGGGCUGUUACUGACGCUGAGGCCCGAAGGCGUGGGGAGCAAACAGGAUUAGAUACCCUGGUAGUCCACGCAGUAAACGAUGGAUACUAGGUAUAGGGAGUAUCGACCCUCUCUGUGCCGAAGCUAACGCUUUAAGUAUCCCGCCUGGGGACUACGGUCGCAAGACUAAAACUCAAAUGAAUUGACGG